rnacentral:rRNA from 1 species
CAGUAGCCACGGGAAUACAGAGGGUGCAAGCGUUAAUCGGAAUUACUGGGCGUAAAGCGCGCGUAGGUGGUUUGUUAAGUUGGAUGUGAAAUCCCCGGGCUCAACCUGGGAACUGCAUCCAAAACUGGCAAGCUAGAGUAUGGUAGAGGGUGGUGGAAUUUCCUGUGUAGCGGUGAAAUGCGUAGAUAUAGGAAGGAACACCAGUGGCGAAGGCGACCACCUGGACUGAUACUGACACUGAGGUGCGAAAGCGUGGGGAGCAAACAGGAUUAGAUACCCCCGUAGUCCCUGUCUCUUAUAA